rnacentral:rRNA from 1 species
UGGGGAAUCUUGCACAAUGCGCGAAAGCGUGAUGCAGCAACGCCGCGUGGGGGAAGACGGCCUUCGGGUUGUAAACCCCUUUCAGUUGGGACGAAGCUUUGACGGUUAAUAGCCGGCUAGAGUGACGGUACCUUCAGAAGAAGCCCCGGCUAACUACGUGCCAGCAGCCGCGGUAAUACGUAGGGGGCAAGCGUUGUCCGGAAUCAUUGGGCGUAAAGAGCGUGUAGGUUGUCCGAUAAGUCUGCUGUGAAAGUCCAGGGCUCAACCCUGGGAUGCCGGUGGAUACUGUCGGGCUAGAGUGCGGAAGAGGCGAGUGGAAUUCCCGGUGUAGCGGUGAAAUGCGCAGAUAUCGGGAGGAACACCAAUUGCGAAGGCAGCUCGCUGGUACGUUACUGACACUGAGACGCGAAAGCGUGGGGAGCAAACAG